rnacentral:tRNA from 1 species
GGUGAGAUGGCCGAGCGGUCUAAGGCGCCAGACUAAGGAUCAGAGCAUCUAUUGCUCACCAUUAACUGUUCAUUCGGUUAUCUGGUCCUCCGGGGCGUGGGUUCGAAUCCCACUCUCAUCA